rnacentral:lncRNA from 1 species
AGGGCCGGGGCUGCCCCGCAAACCUGAGUGCCGCAGCCUGUCCCCGGGAGAGGGGCUGAAGCCCGGGCUUCCCCAAGCUCAUCCGUGCAGUAGAUGGUGAUUGAGAGCCUGCUACAAUACACACACACACACACACACACACACACACACACACAGAUACACACACAGACACACACAGACACAGACACAGACACACACACACACACACUCACAUACACACAGAGACUCACACACAGACACACACACACAGAUACAGACACACACACACACACACACACUCACACACACACACACACUCACAUACACACAGAGACACUCACACAGAGACACACACACAGACACACACACACAGAUACAGACACACAGACACACUCACACAGAUACACACACACACACAGACACACACACACAGAGACACACACACAUAGACACACUCACUCAGUCACACACACACUCACACACACACACAGACACACUCACACACACACACAGACACCCAGAGACACACUCACACACACACACAAACACACACACAGACACACUCACAGAGAUACACACAGAGACACACACAGACACAGACACACACACACACAUACACACAGACACACUCACACACAGACACACACAUACAGACACAGUCACACAGAGACACACAGACACACUCACAUAGUCACACACACACAGACACAGUCACACACAGACACACACACACUCACACACAGACACACUCACACAGACACACACAGACACUCACAGACACACACACACGGACACACACACACAGCCUGCUACCACACACACACUCACACACACAGCCUGCUAACACACACACACUCACACACAUACACAGACACACUCACACACAGAGACACACACACAGACACACUCACACACACACAGACAUAGACAGACACAGUCACACACUCACACACAGAGAGACACACUCACACAAACACUCACACACACAGACACAGUCACACACUCACACAGCCUGCUAACACACACUCACACACACACUCACACACAGCCUGCUAACACACACACACACACACACACACACACACACACACACACGAGGCUGUCGAAACCCCCAGCAGAGCCCACAGGGUCCUCAGGGCUGGGCAAGACCGUUGCAGACGCUCGCCCAAGUCAAGAAGGAGGAGCCCAGGAGCCCCGCAGAGGCUGGAGGCCAGCUCUCGAUUCCCGCGGCCGGAGAAGGAGACGUCUUGC